rnacentral:rRNA from 1 species
UACGUAGGGUGCGAGCGUUUAAUCGGAAUUACUGGGCGUAAAGCGUGCGCAGGCGGUUUUGUAAGCCAGGUGUGAAAUCCCCGGGCUUAACCUGGGAAUGGCAUUUGGGACUGCAAGGCUGGAGUGCGGCAGAGGAGACUGGAAUUCCUGGUGUAGCAGUGAAAUGCGUAGAUAUCAGGAGGAAUACCGAUGGCGAAGGCAGGUCUCUGGGCUGACACUGACGCUCAUGCACGAAAGCGUGGGGAGCAAACAGG